rnacentral:lncRNA from 1 species
UAUAUUUAUAUCAAAUUGGUCCACUCACGUUUGUUUUGCACCCCCUUCAGGACCUACGAACGAGGAUUACGAUUUAAGCUACGAGACAUUUCCCUACCAAUGAUUCAGUGUUAUAUUUCCUUUGUUUCGACACUUAUUGUAAUAUAGCACAUCUAUAUCUUAUAUUCUGUUUGUACUCUGUAAUAGACGUAUGCUCUGAACUUAUGUGUAUGACCAUAAUUUUAUUAAUUAGCAGUUGAACUUUUGUAUUAUGUUACUAGUUCCUUUUGACUGUUUUAACUUAUUUCUGAGCUUUUACUUAAAUUAAAUGGCUUUCGUCACCCUUCAGGUGUCGGCCAGCACUUAACCAUCCCAAUGUCCUGAAGACAUCGGGAUCGGGGCGUGUCAGAUUGGUAUAAGAGCGUGAUUCAUUCAGAGCAUACUUAGGAUUCCUUUCCACCAUUUGGUAAUUAUAAUUCUCAUUAUAUCCUUAAUUUCCAGUUGUUCUAAAUCUUUCUUGUUUCUUAUCAGAAUUAUGGAUCUUGCUGGUGUACCUCGUCGAGCUCGUUCUGGAAUAGGGGGAGGAAUCGAACAAUUGGCUAAUGUUUAACGAAAUUCCUUUACUAAUAGAUCAAAACGCACAUAUAUUGAGAUUGCUACCAGUCAUGGUAUUCCGGAUAUUCGAGUAGUGGGAGCCUGUCCGGAGGCCGAGGAAUGGUUGGAGUAGGUGGAAGACACUCUGGAUGGUAUGAGAUGGCCACCAGGUGAGUGGGCGGAGACUGCAGGUUAUUUUCUUAAGGGAGGUGCUAAGGUUUGGUGGAAAUCAGUGAAGCAUGCUCGUCCACCAGGUACUUCGAUGACUUGGGCGGCAUUCCGGAAAGCUUUAAGUGCAUAUUUUCUGAGUCCCAGUUAUCAACUGAGGAUGAGACAGUAAUUUCUGGAGUUUCGUUAAGGCAAUCUAAGUAUCACUGAGGUGGAUAAUACUUUUCGACGCCUGUCGAGACAUCAUGCAGAGACUUAUGGAAACCCUAGCGAGAUGAUGGUUCAGUUACUAAUUUGCUUGAAUCCAGACUAUCGUGAACAAGUGGCAGCCAUAAGGCAUAGAAGUUACGAGGAGAUGAUCGAGACCUGUUUGAGAAUUGAGCAAUCUAGGUGAGAGACUCAUAACCAGGAGCAGGCACAGUUUCAGGAACCACCCAUAUAUCAGGAACAACCUCGAAACCAGAACCAGAGAGGUCGUGGUUUUCGAUCUCGGAGUGUGAGGGAAUCAUGUAGCUCCUCUAAUUUUGUUGGCCCUAGACACUCUCAUUCUUUCAAACGUCAGGGUCAGGGUUUAGGUUCUUCUAGCGAGGGUUCAGGCAAUGAAUCUGGAAGGCGAUCUUUCAGUCACUUCAGAUCGCAUAUUACGUGUCACAGGUGUGGAUGCACGGGGCAUAUUGCCAGAUUUUGCCCUUCAAGACAACCUGCUGAGAGUUAUGCAUCUGUGCCGAGUUAUGGUAGAGGGGGUAAUCCGAGUUCUAGUUAUGGCGGUAAUUAUACUCAGAACUAUGGUGGGAAUGGAAGUAGAAGUCAGAAUACUCAAUUUUCCACUCAGAGACAGCCGCAACAGUUUGGUGCAGCUUCAAGUAGCCGCUCACAGGGGAAUCGAGCAGGUCGUAACGGUGGUGCAGAACGUCAGUUUCAUGGACGUAUCAACGCCAUGACACAACAGGAAGCUGAUCAAGAUCCUCAAGUUAUUACUGGUAUGUUACUUAUUUGUGGUAAUUGGGCGAGGGUUCUAAUUGAUCCGGGUGCUACUUUUUCAUUUGUGUUUUCAUCAUUUGCACUGAAUUUAAAUGCACCACCUACACCUCUUGGAUAUGAUAUGCUUGUGCAAAUGUCACAAGGAGAUCUAUUUUGUGCUUAGUGGGAGUAUAAAAGUUGCCUGGUAAUAGUGGAAUGGGAAAUGAUGGAGGCUAAUCUGGUCUCUCUUAAUUUGGCGAAGUUUGAUGUUAUUUUAGGGAUGGAUUGGCUAUCCAGGCACCAUGCUUAUGUCGCAUGUUGGGAGAAAUCUAUGACGUUCAAUCGGUCUGGACGGCCGUUGAUCACAUUUCAGGGUGAGCGAUGAAUCCUUCUUAGUAGCAUUAUUUCCCCUAUUCAGGUGACUAAAUUGUUGAGUAGGGGAUGUGUGGGAUUCUUAGCCCAUGUAGUGACAAGGGAUAAACCUUUGUUGAGACCUAAGGAUGUGCCAGUGGUGAAACAAUUUAUCGAUGUUUUUCCGAAGGAUUUACCAAGGUUACCGCCUGCGAGGGAAAUUGAAUUUACCAUCGAUUUACUUCCAGGUACAGACCCUAUCUCUUUACCACCCUAUCGAAUGGCACCAGCAGAAUUGAGGGAAUUGAAGAUUCAACUUCAAGAGUUAGUGGAUAAAGGUUACAUCCAACGCAGCAUGUCUCCCUGCGGCGCUUCUGUUUUAUUUGUUAAAAAGAAAGAUGGAUCGAUGAGACUUUGCAUCGACUACCGGCAGCUAAACCGGGUGACGGUGAAGAAUCGUUAUCCUCUGCCUCAGAUCGAUGACCUGUUUGACCAGCUGAAUAGUGCUCAGCUGUUCUUUAAGAUCGAUCUUCACUCAGGUUAUCAUCAGCUGCUAAUUCGGGAGGAAGAUGUAUCGAAGACUACCUUCCGCACUAGGUACGGACACUUUGAAUUUCAUGUCAUGCCUUUCAGAUUGACGAAUGCACCUGCAAUGUUCAUGGAUUUGAUGAACAGAGUUUUCAGACCGUAUCUAGAUCGGUUUGUGAUUGUGUUCAUCGAUGAUAUUUUGAUCUUUUCCAAGAGUGUUAGCGAGCACAGGAAGCAUUUAAGGUUGGUGCUGGAAAAGUUGAGAAGUCAGCAGCUGUAUGCUAAGUUUAGCAAGAGUCAGUUCUGGCUAAACCAAAUCAGCUUUCUCGGUCAUGUAGUAUCUGCUGAGGGGAUUAGUGUGGAUCCUCAGAAGGUGUCGGCAAUAACUACGUAGGAGCAACCGAGGAAUGUUACAGAAGUGAGGAGUUUUCUUCUAGGUCUGGCUGGCUAUUACCGAAGAUUUUUUAAAGGUUUCUCAUCCAUUGCCUUACCUUUGAAUAAGUUGACUCGGAAGGAAGUUGAGUUUAAGUGGGAUGAAGAUUGUGAGCGGAGUUUUCAGGAGCUGAAGCGAUGUCUCACUCAAGCUCCCGUUCUUACGCUUCCGGACGAUAGCGGUGAGUUUGAGAUCUACACGGAUGCAUUUCUGUCAGAUUUGGGUUGUGUAUUGAUGCAACAUGAUAAAGUCAUUGCUUAUGCUUCUAGACAACUCAAGAUUCACGAGAGAAACUAUCUCACUCAUGAUUUGGAACUUGGUGCAGUGGUGUUCGCUCUAAAGAUUUGGAGACAUUAUUUGUACGGUGAGAAGUGUCGCAUCUUUACUGAUCAUAAGAGCCUCAAGUAUAUCUUUACGCAGAGAGACUUGAACUUGAGGCAGAGAAGAUGGAUGGAACUUACCACUAAUUAUAACUGCACGAUUGAAUAUCAUACCGGACAUGCCAAUGUAGUGGCGGAUGCACUUAGUCGAAAAUAUCACGGACAGCUUGCAUCCCUUCAAGCUAUUCAUGUUCCGCUACUAUUUUCUCUUCGAGAAACAGGCGUGCCGGUGAGACUAGGUGAACAGGGAGCUUGGUUGGCACAUUUCCAUGUUAGACCUGUUUUGGUGGAUAUGGUUCUAGAAGCCCAAGAGCUUGAUCAGGAAUGUGCCGACAGAAAGAUUUCGGUGGAAAAAUGAGAAGAUGAACAUUUUAUUAUCCGCAAGGAUGGAGCCUUGAUGUGGGAAAACAGAUUGUAUGUGCCUCAUGAUAACGAAGCAGUAAAAAGGGAAAUUCUGGAUGAAGCACACAUGUCAGCAUAUGCCAUGCAUCCGGGAAGCACUAAAUUAUAUCGCAUUAUCCGUCCGUUUUAUUACUAGUUAGGAAUGAAGUGGGAUGUGGUGGAUUAUGUGAGUAGAUGCAUCAUUUGUCAACAGGUGAAGGCUGAGAGGCAAAGACCUGGAGGAUUGAUGCAGAAUCUUCCGAUACAAGCGUGGAAAUGGGAAGACAUCACCAUGGAUUUUGUAUAUGGUUUGCCGAGGACACAGUCGAGAUUGGACGACAUUUGGGUAAUUGUUGAUCGACUUACUAAGACCGCUCACUUCUUGCCUGUUCGAUAGACCUAUCCACUGGAGAAAUUAUCGAAGUUGUUCAUCGAUAAUAUUGUUAGAUUUCAUGGUGUACAUGUCUCUAUUGUUUCAGACAGAGAUCCCAUAUUUACUUCCAGGUUUUGGAAAGCUUUUAAUAUUGCCAUGGGUACUCAAUUGUUGUUUAGUACUGCCUAUCAUCCACAUACUGAUGGUCAGUCUGAGAGGAAAAUUCAGACAUUAGAGGACAUGUUGAGAGUGUAUGUUCUCCAAUGGAAGGGUAGUUGGGAUAGCUAUUUGUCGUUGGUUAAGUUUGCGUACAAUAAUAGCUAUCAUUCGAGUACUGGUAUGGCACCAUAUGAAGCUCUGUAUGAGAGAGUGUGUCGGAUGCCGUUGUGUUGGGCAGAGGCUGGCGAGCGAGUAUUGCUGAGACCAGAGAUUGUGGACACUACCAAUGCGAACAUCCAGCUGAUUAAGAGAAACCUCAAGGCAGCACAAGACCGACAAAAAAACAUCGCGGACAAACAUUCCAGGGAUCGUGAGUAUAAAAUUGGUGAUUAUGUAUUCUUGAAGUUGUCUCCUUGGAAGGGUGUUGUUCAUUUUGGUAAGCAAGGAAAGUUGAGUCCUCGAUACGUUGGUCCUUAUCAAAUUACAGAGAGAAUUGGUGCAGUUGCCUAUAGAUUGGAGUUGUCACCAGAGUUAUCUCUGAUUCAUAACGUUUUCCAUGUUUCCAUGCUUCGGAAAUAUGUAUCAGAUUCCUCUCAUAUCAUUCAGCUAGAGCCGCUGGAAGUAAGUCAGGAUGUUAGCUAUGUCGAAGAACCAGUGAAUAUUUUUUAUCGACAGGAUAAAGUGUUGAGGAACAAGGUUAUCUCGUUGGUGAAGGUGUUGUGGAGGAACCACGCUAUUGAGGAAGCGACGUAGGAAACGGAAGACCUGAUGAGGAGUCAGUAUCCGUUUUUAUUUGCUUAAGGUUGUAAUUUCGGGGACGAAAUUUUUAUAAGGGGGUAGAUUGUAACACUCACCCCCAUUUAUAAAAUAUAUUUAUGUAAUUAUCCACUAAAUUUUAUAAAUCUAUCAUUUUGGUCCUAUUUUGACUACCUUAUCAAGAUCUAAAAGUUGGAUUCUUUUUCUUUCUCAAGCUGCCACAUGGCAGCACCCCAAUCACCCUCUCAUUUCUCUUUAUGCCCCCCCCCCCGGUGACCCCCAUCUUCUUCUUCCUUCUGUCUAUCCCUUCUCUCCCUCUUGGAUCUCUCAUUUCUCUCCCUUUCUUCAUUGAAAUCUCAGACGCGCACACACCCACGGCGACACAACAAUUUCUCGGAAGCCAUCAUCGUCAUCAAUUUCUCAUCUUUCUCUCUCUCUCUCUUUCCCAUGCUGCAAUGACAGAAACCCGGAAAGAAACUCCAGCGAGAUUUUUCUAUUCUCCGGUUAGGUAAGCUUUGAUUUCCCUCUAUUUCAUCCUAGAAUCUUGUGAGAAUGAGUUUUAAGUUGGUUUUAUUUCAUUUUUGUUGAGGUUUUAGGACGGAAUCAACGCGGGUGUAGGCACACCCAUCUCUGGCGAACCGUGGGUGUCGAGGGAAGUUUUGGCCAUCUCCGACCAUUCCAAGGCGAAAGGAAGGUAUAAAAACACUCCCCUCGUCUUGUACUUCAUUUUGGUACCUAGAUCGGGGUCUAUGGUUGUAGUUUGUGGUCGGCCAGAGCUGUAAAAGCUCCGGCGUUCUUCUCUGUCGACGCUAGGCCUUCAGGCCGUUUCUAGGACAAGCGGGCCUUAGGCCCGUGGUGAACCUAAGCCCUUUUUGGGCCAUUCUAGAACUUGGGCUUCAAGCCCGUUCGGUCCAUAUCCCAUAUUUUAAUAUUCUGUUAUUUAUAUUUUUGUUAGUUAUUUGUUAAAACCCAAAAGGCCUUCGGGCCGUGCCACUCAGGGCUUGAGGCCAAUUGACCCAACCCAAAACCUUUUUAGGUUUUAAUCAAUUUCUGUUUUAGAAAUAAAGGCCUUAGGCCAUUUUAUUGGGCUUUCAGCCCUUUCCCAAACCCAUUAACCUUUAAUUUAAACCCAAAACCCUUAUGGCCCAUUCGGCCCAACCCAAUCCAAAGCCCAGUCUGACUUUGACCCUUUGACCAGUUGACUCUGACUGUUGACUCGGUCAACGAUCAGCGUUGACUCGAUCAACGGUCAGAGUUGACUUUAAUUUUUUACUUUGAUUGAUCAAUGGUCAACGUUGACUUUUUAGUUGACUUUUCGUCCAGGACCUCUCCUAGGCUAAUUUCGACGUCUUAGACCUGUUUUUGAAGUCUGUUUUCCCAAAUUCAAUCGUUUGAAUAGAGUUUGACUAAAGGUACUCCUUUAUGUGAAUGGGUGCAAUUAUUAACGGUGAUUCCGUUAUACUUUUUGGUACAGCUUUGCACCAUCGGUGUACGGUGAGUGGACCCCUUCAAAAGCAUUUUAAUAAUAGAAAUGCAUACAUGAAAAGCAUGAUUUAAUAAUUAUGUUUUAUGAAAUGUUGUGAGAUAACAUGCUUAUAGAGGCUAGAUUGAAUUAUUACUAUUUUUCCUAUAACCCAUGUUCUUAUAGAAUAUCCGAUAGAUGACGAUAUGAUAUUUAGAACAUGUUUAGAACACCUCUUUGUAGUAUAGAUGAUGAAUGACUUUAUAUUAUGAAGUUGUUUUUCAAUAUAUAUAUAUUCAAUGGUUUUGUACUUACCUAGUGGUCCUUUCCGCUACGGGACGUAGGGAUAUAUUCUGGUCCGUCCCGAGCGACGGUUUGGUGUUGGCAUAAGGCUUGGAGUGUGUUUCCUUUAGCUAUUUAGCACAGGGACGGGGAGCCGGCAUGGGGCCUGAAGGUUAUCGGACAAAUCACUAGUGUUUAUUACUUAUACAAGUUAUGAAUUUGAGAUACUGCACAUCAUGCUAGGUUUCGGAAAACCUAUGUUUUUCAUUAUAUAUGUGUUUUCAUAAACCUGGAGGUUAGUAUGUUGAUAAUUGUUUUGUUAUAUUUAUAUCAAAUUGGUCCACUCACGUUUGUUUUGCACCCCAUUCAGGACCUACGAACGAGGAUUACGAUUUAAGCUACGAGGCAUUUCCCUACCAGUGAUUCAGUGUUAUAUUUCCUCUGCUUCGACACUUAUUGUAAUAUAGCACAUCUCUAUCUUAUAUUUUGUUUGUACUCUGUAAUAGACGUAUGCUCUGAACUUAUGUGUAUGACCAUAAUUUUAUUAAUUAGCAGUUGAACUUUUGUAUUAUGUUACUAGUUCCUUUUGCCUGUUUUAGCUUAUUUAUGAGCUUUUACUUAAAUUAAAUGGCUUUCGUCACCUUUCAGAUGUUGGUCAGCACGUAACCAUCCCGAUGUCCCGAGGACAUCGGGAUUGGGGCGUGUCAAUUUGUAA